UGUAGAAUCUGCUCUACCGUA
rnacentral:piRNA from 1 species